rnacentral:rRNA from 1 species
UCGAACGCUUCUUUCCUCCCGAGUGCUUGCACUCAAUUGGAAAGAGGAGUGGCGGACGGGUGAGUAACACGUGGGUAACCUACCCAUCAGAGGGGGAUAACACUUGGAAACAGGUGCUAAUACCGCAUAACAGUUUAUGCCGCAUGGCAUAAGAGUGAAAGGCGCUUUCGGGUGUCGCUGAUGGAUGGACCCGCGGUGCAUUAGCUAGUUGGUGAGGUAACGGCUCACCAAGGCCACGAUGCAUAGCCGACCUGAGAGGGUGAUCGGCCACACUGGGACUGAGACACGGCCCAGACUCCUACGGGAGGCAGCAGUAGGGAAUCUUCGGCAAUGGACGAAAGUCUGACCGAGCAACGCCGCGUGAGUGAAGAAGGUUUUCGGAUCGUAAAACUCUGUUGUUAGAGAAGAACAAGGACGUUAGUAACUGAACGUCCCCUGACGGUAUCUAACCAGAAAGCCACGGCUAACUACGUGCCAGCAGCCGCGGUAAUACGUAGGUGGCAAGCGUUGUCCGGAUUUAUUGGGCGUAAGGCGAGCGCAGGCGGUUUCUUAAGUCUGAUGUGAAAGCCCCCGGCUCAACCGGGGAGGGUCAUUGGAAACUGGGAGACUUGAGUGCAGAAGAGGAGAGUGGAAUUCCAUGUGUAGCGGUGAAAUGCGUAGAUAUAUGGAGGAACACCAGUGGCGAAGGCG